ensembl:lncRNA
AUGUCUGCUCAUGUUUCCUCCCCAGCCACAGAGCGGGAGAGGAGUAGUUUUGAGGGAACUCGCCUGGUGGUUUUCUGGGGGACCAGGGGAGGUCGCCGAGGAGGGAGUGGUCGAGAGGAGGUUCAACAUCGCUCUCAACCAUGGCCCCCCUUCGACCCGGGGCUCGGGUGGGAUGGAUCAGAGCCACUGUCUCACCAUGGCGGACAGAGAGGGGAGAAGAAGUGCAGGUCCGCCAUGGUGGCGCCACUGCCCAUGAUGGCCGCAGGGCCAGCGCCACGAGGCAAGAUGGACGCCAGCCCAGCGCCACAGCACAAGGUGGUUGCCAGCCCCACGCCACAAGGCCAGACGGCCCAAGAUGGCCGCGGAGACAUUUUUGGAUUACUUCUCCAUAUUGAACAAGAUCCUAGAGAUUCCCAGGAGUGUUCACUGUUCCUCACAUCAACUGUUCCUCAAGGCCCGGAGGCCGUUCCCGAGCAGGCCGCUGCCGUCUCGGAGGCCGUUCCCAAGCAGCCAGCUGCUGUCCCGGAGGCCGUUCCCGAGCAGGCCGAUGCGGUUCCGGAGGCCGAGGCGGUGCCCGAUGCUGUUCCGAAGGCCGAGGGGGUGCCCGAUGCUGUUCCGGAGGCCGAGGCGGUGCCUGAUGCCGAGGCGGUGCCCGAUGCUGUUUCGGAGGCCGAGGCGGUGCCCGAUGCUGUUCCGGGGGCCGAGGCGGUGCCCAAUGCCGUUCCCGAGGCUGUUCCCGAGGCGGUGUUCGAGGCCGUUCCCGAGGCGGUGCCCGAUGCCGUUCCCGAUUCCGUGACCGAGACGGUGCCCGAGCCCGAGGCCGUGACCGAGGCGGUGCCCGAUGCGGAGGCCGAGGCGGUUCCCGAUGCCGUUCCCGAUGCCGUGACUGAGGCGGUGCCCGAUGUGGUGCCCGAGGCCGUUCCCGAUGCGGUGCCCGAGCCCGGGGCGGUGACCGAUGCCGUGACCGAGGCGGUGCCCGAUGCCGUGACAGAGGCGGUGACCGAGGCGGUGCCCGAUGCCGUUCCAGAGGCGGUGUUCAAGGCCAUUCCCGAGGCCGUUCCCGAGGCGGUGCCCGAGGCCGUUCCCGAGGCGGUGCCCGAUGCCAUGACCGAGGCGGUGCCCGAGGCCGUUCCAGAGGCGGUGCCCGAAGCCGAGGCGCCUCACGUCUCCACAGGCCGUCCAGAACACCUUCACGUCUCCACAGGCCGUCCAGAGCACCCUCACGUCUCCGCAGGCCGUCCGGAGCGCCCUCACGUCUCCGCAGGCCGUCCGGAGCGCCUUCACGUCUCCGCAGGCCGUCCGGAGCACCUUCACGUCUCCGCAGGCCGUCCGGAGCACCCUCACGUCUCCGCAGGCCGUCCAGAGCGCCUUCACGUCUCCGCAGGCCUUCCAGAAUGCCUUCACGUCUCCGCAGGGCCUCCGGGAUGGCAGGUUCCGCUCUGGUUGCUCAAAUGGCGGGUUCCUCCCUGGCCGUCGUCACAACCGGAACUGACGGAUCCUCCGUGGCCACCUGAACUGCCUGGUCCCUCGUUGUCCCCUGAACUUUCGGGUCCACCCUGGCCCCCUGAACUGACUGAUCCACCUUGGCUGCCAGUGGAGCCAUCGCUGCCUGUCCCUGUUCCCCUACACGGGCCUGGCCUUCCAUCCCUCCCCCAGUUCUACCUCCACCAGUCCACCUCCCUCCUGGUCUUUUUGGUUUGUUUUUUGUGUCUGAGGAGCAUCUGGAAGCUGCUCCUUAGAGGGGGGGUAAUGUCACAGUGUCUGGUCUGUGUAUCCCUGGGUGUCCACUAGAGGUCUCACUUCCCCUUAUCGUCACCCCACUUCAGAACUACAUUUCCCACAAGUCUUGUUGGUACUCAUCACUGUUCAUUGUAUUCAGCUGUUCCCACUUACAUUGUUUGCACCUGUCUAUAUAUACCUGGUUUGUUUCUGUCUUUUUUUACGGAGUCCUUGUUUUCCGUCACCCGGUUUUCUCGCGGUCCCUUGUGUUUUCUUGUUUCUUGUUUCUGGACUGAUUUUGUGUGACCUCUUGCCUGUUUUGCAUUAUGAUUUUUGGAUUACCCUAUUAAAACUGCAAUUGGAUCUACCUGUUUGUGUGCGUGUCGUGACAGAUCAGCCAUAUGAUAUGUUUCCUCCUUUAUUACUAAACUGAUCCAAAAGAACCUGUCUGUGUUCAAACAUGUUUGGUAUUUAUAUAUGUGGGUGGAAAUUGUUUAAUGAUGACAUUACAUGUCCUGCAUACUUUGCAUUUCUGUUGUUAAAACAAACAAAGCACUGUCUCAAACAUUUUUUUUCAUCAAUGAGGGCCUGAUAAAAAUGUCUGAUCAAACAUUUUAUACAUUAUAUUGAAUUUGGCC